AAGUCGUAACAAGGUUUCCGUAGGUGAACCUGCGGAAGGAUCAUUAAAGAGUAAGGGUCUCCGGCCCGAACCUCCAACCCUCUGUUGUUAUAACUACUUCGUUGCUUUGGCGGGACCGCAAAGGUUCUCCCGAGCGCGCCGGUCUCCGGACAGGCGAGCGCCCGCCAGAGUCCAACCAAACUCUUGUUUUAAACCAGUCGUCUGAGUAUAAAAUUUUAAUUAAAUUAAAACUUUCAACAACGGAUCUCUUGGUUCUC
rnacentral:misc_RNA from 1 species